GUUUAAGACGCUGCUAUUUCUGUAGGUAAUCUCAUGCCGUAACUUCUAAAGUACAGAUAGCAGAACCGUUAACUCGGCCCGUUUGGGUAAAAUUAAGGUUGUUUAAGGUUGUAGCUUGUUGUCGAUAUCACUACGGUUACAGAGAGGUGUCGUUUGUGUUUUACACCGUUUCGCGAAAGAGUUAUUGAGCCGGAAGUCCGAAUCUGUGAAUAUCUUUCCAACUUUACCGAACUCCCUCAACACAUCAUUUGAAUACUCUGAAACGACGUUAUACUUUUAUCCUCGCGCUACAAAAUAUUUAACCGUAGUAGCACAAAUGCUAUGUGUAAAAUAAGUUAAGAUAUGUGUGAUGUUGGCAGCCAAACGGAGAUGGAGGAUAAAGUGGAAGUCUUAGAGGACCACAAGUAGGAUGUUGAAUAAUUUGUGUUUAGGUAGUUACAGUGUUUGCUGUUUUAGUUAGUUUAAAAAAAAUAAAUUGUAUUGUUAAUUUGUU